rnacentral:lncRNA from 1 species
AAGGUGAAACAGUACAGUUGCGAAAUAGACAUAGCCCGACAUCGGGGUAUCACCAGUCAUGAGCAUCUACUAUCCGAAUAAAGACAGGAAAAGUCUACAUAGUCUAUUACAGAACUAAAACAGAGUAAAUAAGAUAGGGGGAUAAGCACUGGGUUGAGGACGCCGAGCCGCUACCUAGUGAAUUUCCGAAUCCGCAUGAGCUGGAAGAAGUCAACACUCGCUAACGGGACCCGAAGCGCUUGAAUCUGCACACGCACACAGGGUGCAGGAAGUAAAGUGAGUACUCCAACUCAGUGAGUAAUAAUAAUAAAUAAAGACUGAGUGAUAAGAAAUCACGUAAAAGAACAUCAACAUGCUAUAAAGAAGUAGUAUAAAACCAGUAAAAGCAAUAAAAUGGUGAAAACAUGUAAAAACACUUAGUUCAGAAGAAGCUUCUUUAAAACACCUUUUUAACAGUUAAGCAAUUAAAUGCAAAGCAGCUAGAACAAAUAAAUACAUAAAAACCCGUCCCUCGGGCACAAAGUCAACAGAAUCCGCCCCUCNNNNNNNNNNNNNNNNNNNNNNNNNGGGCAAUAUCAUGGAACAACACCAGCCCCUCGGGCUAUAUCUCAUAUCACAAUGGGUACCCGUGCUCACUGAGGGUGUACAGACUCCGGGAGGGUCCCCAUACGGCCCAAGCGCAAUGUUAAGCCAUCUCGUGGCAUAAUUAAUAGGCUCUCGGCCUCAUAUCAACAAGCCACCUAGUGGCGUACAAUCUCCGGCCCGCGGCCUCAUAAUCAUGAAUCAGCUCAAUAACCUCACAACACAGGCCCUCGGCCUUACUCAGUCAGAAUCUCAUAAGCCACUCAAGCAACAAUAAAACAUGAUGCUCAGCCCAAAAUAUCAUUUAAAAUAUCAUUUUAAGUGUCAAAACAGAGUAAACAUGGCUGAGUUAUGAAAAUAGUAGAAUAUAACAUGACUGAGUACAAGUAUAAAGUCAAAACAAUGAGGAAAUAUCAGUAAAAAUCCCCUAAGGGUCCAAAUAGUUCGCACGAGGCCCAAACAUGGCAUUCAGCCCAAAACAUGUUGAUAGCAAAUAGUUUUUAAUCAAAUACGCUAAAACAGUCAUUGGGGAUGGACUAAGUCACAAUCCCAAACGGUGCACGACCUCACGCUCGUCAACUACCAUGUGCAUCACCUCAAUAUAGCACAACGAUGUGUAAUCCGGGGUUUCAUACCCUGAGGACAACAUUUAUAAUCAUUACUCACCUCUAUCCGGCCCAAAUCUCUAGCUCGUGAUGCUUUUGCCUCUCGAAUCAACCUCUGAAUGCUCCAAAUCUAACCAAAAUCAGUGCAAAACCAUCAAAAUAUGCUAAGGGAACAAAGCCCACUCGAAAUAAAUUAUAUUACAACACAAAUCCCGAAAUUGGCCAAACCUGACCCCCGCACCCAUGUCUCAAAUUCCGAUAAAAAUUACAUCAAUAAACUCCUUAUCACUCCCCGAGUUCAUUCAUAUCAAAAGCAUCAAAAUCCAACCACAAACGGCCCCUCAAAUCCCAAAUUCUAGGUCUCCAAUUACAACUCCUAGUUCUUCAAUAUUAGGCUUAAAUUCCAUGAUUAAUUAGGUAGAAUCCACAUUAGAAUCGAGUGUUAAGUCAAUAAAUCUUACCUCCAAGUGUUCCCCCUUGAUUCCCUCUUCAAUCCUCUUCAAAAAGCUCUAAAAUCACUCAAAAGUGGUGGAAGUUAGCCUAAAAUUGCGGGCAAUGGCUAUUUAAACAUUCUGCCUAGGAAUUUAAAUCUUUCUUCGCGAACGCGGUCAAAGCCUCGUGUUUGCGAAGCACAAACUGACGUUGACCACAUUUCCCUCUUUCGCGAACGCGACCACUUCCUCGCAAAUGCGAUGACUCCAUAGCUCAACCUUCGCGAAUGCGGCCCCCCCUUCUCGCGAACGUGAUGCUUAAUGGCCCAGCCCUUCGUGAACGCGGGACCUCCCUCGCGAACGCAAAGGCAAAAACUUUAGCCUCAUCUGCUAACCCUUCGCGAACGCGGGGUCUACUCGCGAAUGCCGAAGUCCAAUUGUCUGCAACACCCAACAGCAGUUUUCUGCAGUUUUUCACAACAUGAAAUGGUUCGAUUGACCACCCAAAACUCACCCGAGGCCCCGGGACCUCAACCAAACAUGCCAACAUAUCUGAUAAUAUCAUUCAAACUUGUCCCAAUCUUUAGAACGCUCAAAACAACAUCAAAAUACCAAAUUCGCAUUGGAUUCAAGCCUAAGAAUUCCAAAAUCUUCUAAAUUCCGCUUUCGAUCAAAAAGUCCACCAAACCACGUCCGAAUGACAUGAAAUUUUCACACACAUCCCAAAUGACACAACGGAACUACUGCAACUCCCAAAAUUCCAUUCCGACCCCUAUAUCAAAAUCUCACCUAUCACCGAAAAACACCAAAAUUCCAAUUUCGCCAAUUCAAGCCUAAAUCUACUCUGGAGCUCCAAAACAUAUUCUGAUCACGCUCUUAAGUCUCAAAUCACCUCCCGACGCUAUCUGAACCAUCGGAACUCACAUCGGUUCCCUUUAACACAUAACUCAAUAUCCGAUGAACUUUUCCAACUUAAGCUUACUCAAAAGAUACUAAGUGUCUCAAACCUUACCAAAACCUCUCCGAACCCCAGCCAACCAACCCGAUCACAUGUACAACCGAUAAACCCAGCAAUAAGAAGCAGAAAUGGGGAAAACAGAGUGGUAACUCAUGAAACGACGGGCCGGGUCGUUACAUCCUCCCCCUUUUAAACAAAUGUUCAUCCUCGAAUGAGUCAAGAAACAUACCUGAAGCCUCAAACAAGUGAGGAUAUCUACUCCGCAUCUCCCGCUCGGUCUCCCAGGUAGCCUCCUCCAUGGGUCGUCCUCUCCACUGCACUUUCACCGAAGCUAUAUCCUUUGAUCUCAACUUUCGAACUUGAUGCUCCAAAAUAGCUGUUGGCUCCACAUCAUAAGUCAGAAUACCAUCUAAUUGAACCGUGCUGAAAUCCAAAACAUAAGACGGAUCCCCAAUAUACUUUCGGAGCAUGGAAACAUGAAAUAUCGGAUGCACACUCGACAAGCUGGGUGGCAAAGCAAGCUCAUAAGCCACCUCCCCAAUCCUCUGAAGCACCUCAAAAGGCCCAAUGAACCGAGGACUCAAUUUACCCUUCUUCCCAAAUCUCAUAACACCCUUCAUGGGCGAAACAUUCAACAAAACUUUCUCACCAACCAUGUAGGAUACAUCCCGAACCUUCCUGUUAGCAUAACUCUUUUGUCUCAAUUGCGCUAUACGAAGCCUCUCAUGAAUUACCUUCACUUUUUCUAAAUCAUCCUGCACCAAGUCUGUCCCCAAUAGCCUAGCCUCGCCCGGCUCAAACCAACCAACUGGAUAUCUACAGCGCCUCCCAUAUAAAGCCUCAUAUGGAGCCAUCUGAAUACUCGACUAGUAGUUGUUGUUAUAAGAAAACUCUACGAGCGGUAGAAACUGAUCCCAUGACACUCCGAAAUCAAUGACACAAGCACGUAACAUGUCCUCCAAUAUAUGAAUAUUGCGCUCGGACUGCCCGUCCAUCUGAGGGUGAAAAGUUGUGCUCAACUCAACCUGAGUACCUAACUCUCGCUGCACAGACCUCCAAAACUGCGAAGUAAACUGAGUGCCCCUAUCUGAAAUGAUGGAAACUGGGACACCAUGCAAACAAAUAAUCUCUCGGAUAUAGAUCUCUGCCAACCGCUCAGAAGAAUAGGUAGUACAAACAGGAAUGAAGUGCGCGGACUUGGUCAGCCGAUCCACAAUCACCCAAAUAGCAUCAAAGUUCUUCAAAGUCCGUAGGAGCCCAACUACAAAGUCCAUGGUGAUCCUCUCCCACUUCCACUCUAGAAUAUCCAUCUGAUGAAGCAAGCCACCCGGUCUCUGAUGCUCAUAUUUCACCUGCUGACAAUUGAGACACCAAGCUACAAAUCCCACAAUGUCUUUCUUCAUUCUCCUCCACCAAUAAUGUUGUCUUAGAUCCUUAUACAUUUUCGCAGCAUCGGAUGAAUAGAAUACCGCGAGCUAGGGCCUCCUCCAAAAUUAACUCCCGAAGCCCAUCUAUAUUGUGCAUACAUAUACGGCCCUGCAUUCUUAACACCCUAUUAUCACCAAUAGUCACAUCUCUGGCAUCAUCGUGCUGAACUUUGUCCUUAAGGACAAGCAAAUGAGGAUCAUCAUAUUGGCGCUCUCUGAUGCGAUCAUAUAACGAAGACUGAGAAAUCUCGCAAGCCAAUACCCGACUGGGAUCCAAAUAUCUAACCUCACAAACCGAUUGGCCAAGGCCUGAACAUCAACUGCAAGAGGUCUUUCCCCAACUGGAAUAUAUUCCAAACUCCCCAGACUCACCGCCUUUCGGCUCAAAGCAUCGGCCACCACAUUGGCCUUCCCCGGAUAGUACAAUAUAGUAAUAUCAUAAUCCUUUAGCAACUCCAACCACCUCCGCUACCUCAAAUUGAGAUCCUUCUGUUUGAACAAGUGUUGGAGGCUACGAUGAUCAAUAAACACCUCACAAGACACACCAUACAAGUAAUGCCUCCAAACCUUCAACACGUGAACAAUGGAAGCAAACUCAAAUUCAUGAACGGGGUAGUUCUUCUCAUGGGGAUUCAACUGACGAGAAGCAUAAGCAAUAACUCUACCCUCCUACAUCAAAACACACCCAAUACCAACCCUCGAAGCAUCACAAUACAUGGUAUAUGAACUUGAAGCUGAUGGCAAAACUAACACUAGAGCUGUGGUCAAGGCUGUUUUGAGCUUCUGAAAGCUCUCCUCACACUCAUUCGAUCAUACAAAUGAAGCACCCUUCUGAGUCAACUUGGUCAAGGGCGACGCGAUAGAUGAAAAUCCCUGAACAAACCGGUGAUAAUAGCUCGCCAAACCAAGAACACUGCGAAUCUUUGUGGCUGAGGACGGUCUGGGCCAACUCUGAACCGCCACUAUCUUCUUCGGAUCAACCUGAAUACCCUCGCUGGACACCACGUGUCCUAAGAAAGCCACUGAACUGAGCGAAAACUCACAUUUGGAGAACUUUGCAUAAAGCUUCUCCUCCCUCAAUCUCUGCAACACAACUCUCAAAUGCUAUGUUUGCUCCUCCUGACUGCACAAUACACCAGAAUAUCAUCAAUGAAGACUACGACAAAUGAGUUAAGAUAAGGCCGAAACACGCUGUUCAUCAAAUGCAUGAACGUUGCUGGGGCAUUGGUCAGCCCAAAGACAUUACAAGAACUCAUAAGGACCCUAGUGGGUCCUGAAAGUUAUCUUAAGAAUAUCCAAGUCCCUGAUCUUCAACUGGUGAUAACCCGAACGGAGAUCAAUCUUGGAGAACACUCUCGCUCCCUGAAACUGGUCAAAUAAAUCAUCAAUGCGAGGCAAAGGAUACUUGUUCUUAAUUGUUACUUUGUUCAACUACCUAUAAUCAAUGCACAUCCUCAUAGUGCCAUCCUUCUUCUUCACAAAUAGAACCGGCGCACCUCAAGGUGACACACUAGGCCUAAUGAACCCAUUAUCAAGAAGUUCCUGAAGCUGCUCCUUUAACUCUUUCAACUCUGUUGGUGCAAUACAAUAUGGUGGAAUAGAAAUGGACCGAGUACCCGGCACCAGGUCAAUACCAAAGUCAAUAUCCCUAUCCGGUGGGGUACCCGGCAGGUCUGCAGGAAACAUAUUGGGAAACUCCCUCACAACUGGAACAGAAUCAAUACUGGAAGUCUCUGCACUGACAUCCCUUACAAAGGCUAGAUACGAAAGACAACCCUUCCCAACCAUACGCUGGGCCAUCAAGAAUGAGAAUACCCUACUGGGGAUAUAAUCGGUCAAACCUUGCCACUCAAUCUGUGGCACACCCAAUAUAGCCAAUGUCAUUGUCUUAGCAUGACAGUCCAGAAUAGCACAACACAGAGAUAGCCAAUCCAUGCCCAAAAUAUCAUCGAAAUCCACCAUACAUAAUAUUAAAAGAUCCAAUCAAAUCUCUAGACCCCCAAUAGUCACCAUACACGACCGGUACACAUGGUCUACAACAACAGUAUCGCCCACCGGAGUAGAUACAUGAAUAGGUGAAACAAGAGACUCACAGGGAAUAUCCAAAUAACGAGCAAAGUAUGAUGACACAUAAGAAAAGGUGGAACCAGGAUCAAAUAAUACAGAAGCAUCUCUGUGACAGAAUGAGACAAUACCUGUAAUAACAGCAUCGGAAGCAAUAACAUCGGGUCUACCUGGAAGUGCAUAGAAACGGGCCUGACCACCACCUGAUCGACCUCCCCCUCUAGGGCGACCCCUAGCUGACUGACCUCCACCCCUAGCUAGCUGGGUAGGUGGUGGUGAAGUAACUGGCACUGAAGUCGAUGGCUGACUCCUCUGCUGAGAUGAACCCGCAAGACGACGAGGACACUGCCUCCACAUAUGACCCAUCUCUCCACACUCAUAGCAACUCCCAGGCGCUGGAGAUGGGGACUGAAGGGAACCCCUAGCACCAAAAUGACUAGCAGAUGCAUAUGGCAUAGAAGAGCCUUGAACUGAUGAAGCACGGGAAGAACUCUGAGCUGGAAGGGCACUAAGUGAUGACUGGACCUGAUGAGAACUAUGAGAACCAUGACCCGAUGAUGCCCCACGAUAACCUAGGCGAGCUGGCUGAGCAUGCCUGAAUGGACGGCCUUUGCCGUGCUGAAACUGACCUCUUAAAGUAGCACCACCAUAACUACCAGAUCCUCGAGGCCUCUUGGCCUCCCUCUCAUCUCGCUCCUGGCGACGAACUGACUCAAUCUCACAAGCAAUUUCCAUAACNNNNNNNNNNNNNNNNNNNNNNNNNAUGAGAAUACGAAGCUGAUAAGUGAGGCCAUCCACAAACCUCCUAAUCCUCUCUCUAUCUGUCGGAACCAACCAAAUAGCAUGAUGAGCUAACUCGGAGAACCUCAUCUCAUACUGCAUCACAAUCAUCUCUCCCUGACGCAACCACUCAAACUGGCUGCGCAGCUCCUCCCUGUGAGACUGCGGCACAUACUUCUCCAGAAAGAGAACAGAGAACUGCUACCAGGUAAGGGGUGCUGCACGAACAGGCCUAUGCCUCUCAUAAGCCUCCCACCAAGUGAAGGCAGCUCCAGAAAACUAAAAAGUAGUGAAAGCGACCCCGCUAGUCUCCAUAAUACCCAUUGUGUGAAGAAUCCACUGACACUUGUCUAAGAAACCUUGGGCAUCCUUGCCCUCUGCACCAUUGAAAGUCGGAGGCCGAAGUCUACCAAACCUCUCCAACCUACGCUGCUCGUCCUCUGGCAUGGCAAGAGCUACACAGUCCUGAGCAGCUACAACCAACUAGGAUGGAUGUGCCCCCUUCGUCUGAAGUCCUUGCACGACCUGCUCAGGUAUGCGAGCGGCGGGAGUCUGAGUGCCUCCUCCGGCCUGAGAAUUAGUUGCGGCUGUAGUAACUGAGACCGCCUGAGCUAGGCUAGUGCAUACUGAUAGAAUCUAAGCCAAGGCUUCCUGAAGACCCAGAAUCCCAAUGGGCACAGCUGGUGCUGCUGGAGCAUCCACAGCUGGGACCUGAUCCUGAACUGGGGCGGUUGGUGGAUCUGUAGGUGCUUCCCUAACUGCUGUGCGGGCCAUACCCCUACCCCUACUACGACCAUAACCGUGUCCUCGGCCUCUAGUGGCCAUAGCUGGUGGUACUAGUGGUCGUCCAUCCUGAUUGGUGGCGCGUGUCCUCACCAUCUAUGAGAGAAUAGAAUAAAUGAAAUUUAGUACUCCGAUCAACAAACUCGCAUGACAAGAAUUUCAAGAAUAUGAAGUUUUUCCUAAAGGUUCUGCAGCCUCUCGAGGAUAAAUACAGAUGCCUCCGUACCGAUCCGCGAGACACUACUAAACCUGCUCAUGACUCGUGAGACCUAUGUAACCUAGGCUCUAAUACCAACUUCUCAAGACCCUAAACCCAGACCCGGUCGUGAUAGCGCCUCUCAUGAAGACAAGGCCAGCCGACACUCUCCCAAUUCAUUUUAAGCAAUUAAAAAUAAUACAAAUUAAGUCUUUAACAUAAUAAUAAUCCCAAAAGAAGGUGAAACAGUAUAAUUUCGGAAUAGACAUAGCCCGACAUCAGGGUAUCACCAAUCAUGAGCAUCUACUAUCGAAAUAAAGACAGGAAAAGUCUACAUAGUCUAUUAUAGAACUAAACUAGAGUAAAUAAGAUAGGGGGAUAAGCACUGGGUUGCGGACGCCGAGCCGCUACCUAGUGAAUUUCCGAAUCCGCAUGAGCUGGAAGAAGUCAACACUCGCUAGCGGGACCCGAAGCGCCUGAAUCUUCACACAGGGUGCAGGGAGUAAAGUGAGUACUCCAACUCAGUGAGUAAUAAUAAUAAAUAAAGACUGAGCGAUAAGAAAUCACAUAAAAGCACAUCAACAUGCUAUAAAGAAGCAAUAUAAAACCAGUAAAAGCAAUGAAACGAUGAAAACAUGUAAAAACACUUAGUUCAAAAGAAGCUUUUUUAAAACACCUUAUUAACAGUUAAGUAAUUAAAUGCAAAGCAUCUAGAAAAGAUAAACACAUAAAAACCCGCCCCUCGGGCACAAAAUCAACAAAAUUUGCCCCCCGGGCAAUAUCAUGGACAACACUAGCCCCUCGGGCUAUAUCUCAUAUCACAAUGGGUACCCGUGCUUACUUGAUUCCCUCUUCAAUCCUCUUGAUUCCCUCUUCAAUAAAGUGUUCCCCCUUGAUUCCCUCUUCAAUCCUCUUCAAAAAGCUCCAAAAUCACUCAUAAUGGUGGAAGUUAGCCUCAAAAUCGCAGACAAUGGCUAUUUAAACAUUCUGCCCAGGCAUUUAAAUCUCUCUUCGCGAACGUGGUCAAUGCCUCGCGUUCACGAAGCACAAAAUGAUGUUGACCACAUUUCCCUCUUUCGUGAAUGCGACCACUACCUCCCGAACGCGAUGACUCCACAGCUCAACCUUCGCGAACACGCCCCCCCCCCCCCUUCUCGCGAACGCGAUGCUCAAUGGCCUAGCACUUCGCGAAUGUGGGACCUCACUCGCGAACUCGAAGGACAAAACUUCAGACUCAUUUGCUAACCAUUCACAAACAUGAGGUCCUACUCGCGAACGCGAAGGCCAAUUGUCUGCAACACCCAAUAGCAGUUUUUUGUAGUUUUUCACAACAUGAAAUGGUCCGAUUGACCACCCAAAACUCACCCGAGGCCCCCGGUACCUCAACCAAAUAUGCCAACAUAUCCCAUAACAUCAUUCAAACUUGUCCCAAUCUUCAAAACACUCAGAACAACAUCAAAACACCAAAUUCGCAUCGGAUUCAAGCCUAAGAAUUCCAAAAUCUUCUAAAUUCCGCUUUUGAUCAAAAAGUCCACCAAACCACGUCCGAAUGACCUAAAAUUUUUCACACACAUCCCAAAUGACAUAACAGAACUAUUUCAACUCCCAAAAUUUCAUUCCGACUCUUAUAUCAAAAUCUCACCGAUCAACUGAAAAAUGCCAAAAUUCUAAUUCUGCCAAUUCAAGCCUAAAUCUACUCUGAACCUCCAAAAUACAUUCCGAUCACGCUCUUAAGUCUCAAAUCACCUACCGAAGCUAUCCGAACCAUCGGAACUCACAUCUGAGCCAUUGAACACAUAAGUCAACAUCCGGUUGACUUUUCCAACUUAAGCUUCCUCAAAAGAGACUUAGUGUCUCAAACCUUACCAAAACCUCUUUGAACCCGAGCCAACCAACCCGAUCACAUAUAGAACCAAUAAACCAAGCAAUAAGAAGCAGAUUUGGGGGAAACAGAGAGGUAACUCAUAAAAUAACCGACCGGUUCGUUAUAGCAAGCCCCCAUAUUCAGCACCACCACCCCCUUCUCGAGGUGCGCCAGUGAGGCCUUAUUUUAGUGUGAUGCCGGAGAGUUAUUACCGUCCACCAGCUAUUCAAGGUUCCUCCAGUAGGUAUUCUGGUCAUCCGGGUUCUUCCAAUGCUUACUUUAGUGCUACGCCAUAGAGUUCAUACUGCCCACCCGCCAUUUAGGGUUCUUCUAGUGGGUAUUCAAGCUAGUAGGUUAAGGCUUCAAGAUAGCAGUCUAUGUCAUCGCGGAGUUGUUAGGAGCGUAGGGAUCCAAGUCACAUAAAGAUAUUUUGUCUCAGACUACGAGGCAAGGUAGUACAGCAGGGUUAUCAGCCUAUGAUUACAGUGCCAGCCAUCCGGCCACCUAGAGGUGGAGAACAUGCUGACAGGGGUCGUCCUAUAGGUGGAGGCCAAACAAAGGGAGGUCAGUCAGCCAUUGCUCAGCCCGGCGGAGGCUAGCCAGCCAGCGCUCCAACCAGAUUCUAUAUUUUUCUGGCUAGACCAGAGUCUCAGAUGGCAUGAUCAUAGGUAUUAUUUCUGUCUGCGGUAGGGAUGCUUCGGUACUGUUUGAUCUAGGGUCUAUAUAUUCAUAUGUGCCAUCUCUGUUUGCCCACUUUCUGGAUAUUCCUCGUGAGUCCUUAGGUACUCCUGUUUAUGUGUCCACUCUUGUGGGCAAUUCUGUGGUUGUGGAUACGAUAUCUGAUCCUGUGAGGUUACCUUUUGUGGUUACGAGACUAGACCGGAUCUCCUAUUACUUGACAUGAUCGACUUUGAGGUCAUCUUGGGCAUGGAUUGGUUUUCUCCAUAUCAUGCCAUUCUUGACUACCAUGCCAAGACUAUUACUUUAGCAAUGCUAGAGUUGCUGAGGUUGGAGUGGAAGGUUUCCUCCGUUAGUUCAUCUAGUCGUGUUAUCUUGUUUCUGAAGGCUCAACAUUUGGUCGAGAAGGGUUGUUUGGCGUAUCUAGCAUAUAUUUGGGACACCACCGCAGAGUCUCCAACGAUUGAUUUAGUACCAGUAGUCUGGGAGUUUGCUGAUGAAUUUCCUUCUAAUCUUCAUGGCAUGCCACCAGAUCAUGAUAUUGAUUUCUGUAUUGAUUUGGCUUCAGGUACUUAGCCUAUAUCUAUUCCACUAUACCAUAUGGCUCCGAAAGAGUUGAAGGAUUUGAAGGAGCAGCUUGAGGAGUUGUUAGCAAACAGGUUUGUUAGACCAAGUGUGUCACCUUGGGGUGCACCAAUGUUGUUUGUACAGAAGAAGGAUAGGAUCAUGCGGAUGUGCGUUGAUUACCGCCAGCUGAACAAAGCUACCAUCAAGAACAAGUACACAUUGCCUCAUAUCGAUGAUUUGUUUGACCAGUUGCAUGGUUCUAGGGUGUUUUCUAAGAUUGACUUGAGAUCAGGGUAUCAUCAGCUGAAGAUUCGAGACUCAGAUGUCCCGAAGACAGCCUUCCAUACUAGAUAUGGCUAUUAUGAGUUUCUGGUGAUGUCCUUUGGCUUGACUAAUUCUCCAGCGGCAUUUAUGGACUUGAUGAAUAGGGUGUUCAGGACUUUUAUCGAUUACUUUGUCAUCGUCUUCAUUGACGACAUCUUAAUAUACUCAAGUAGCCUAGGGGAGCAAAAGCGGCAUUUGACUGUAGUGCUUCAAACCUUGCGAGAGCAGAAGCUAUAUGCUAAGUUCUUCAAGUGUGAGUUUUGGCUAGAGUCAGUGGCAUUCUUGGGGCAUAUUGUGUCAGGAGAGGGUAUUAAGGUGGAUCCCAAGAAGAUUGAGGCAGUUUAGAGUUGGGCACGUCCUACUUCAAUGACCGAUAUCAGGAGUUGUCACACCUCUUUUUUAACCCUGAAGUGGGUAUAUGAGAUUUUUUUCAAUUGAAGUGACAAUAAUCGAAACGGAAUUAUUUAUUUAAAUUUAGAGUCGCCACUUGGGAUAAUUUAUGGUAUACCAAGUCACCAGUUUAAAACCCCAAGUUGAGGAAAGUUUGACUUAUUUAUGGUCUGCGAACACAGAAUCUGGGUAAGGAAUUCUAUUAACCCGAGAGAAUGUGUUAGGCAUUUCCGAGUUCCGUGCUUUUAGCACGGUCGCUUUAAUCAUGCUCUACUUAAUUAAAUUGUCUAAUUACUCAUUUUAAAACCUAUGUACAUUUAUCUUUUACUGCUUUUAAUUGCUUGAAUUAUUCGUAAUUAAGGAGUUAUUUUAAAACAAGCCACGCGUACGUGUAUUCAUUUUGUUUGGCGCGUCAAGACUCAUGUCACGCGUACAUGUCCACAAUUAAUUACGCUUUAUUAAUAUCAAGAGAUUUUGGUUGAAGUUGCGCGAACGCAUACCCCGAUUUUAUUUUUAGGAUCGUAAUUAUGUCACGCGAACAUGUCCACAACCACGAUGAUUUAUUUAAUUGCGCCUAAAGCAAGCUACAAAUGUUCGCUUUUAGAAAUAGUAAUCGUGUCACGUGAACGUGUACACAAUAAAUAACAUUUACUAUUAUUACUAAGAUUAUUUCACCCAACGUUGCGCAAACGCAUACUUUGGUCUUAAUUUUGGAAAUCGUAAUUUUGUCACGCGAAAGCGUACACAAUCACAAAACUAAUUUAAGUGGCGCCUAAAAGCAUUUCUAUGAUGUUCGGAAAUUAUUCAACUCCUAGAUUCGAGAUAGUUGUGAGUUCUAUGAGUUAAGGAGCUUAUUGUGGAAGAAAUGAACUACAAUAACAUAAUUAACGGGAACUGGAAUAUUAAACUUGCAUAGUAUUGACAUGACUACUCAAUUUUUGUACCAAAUGGGAAAGUUCAACAGAAUCUCCGUCAAAAAGAAAAAAAAACAAAUACAUACCAACAAAUGGACAUAACUAUUGUAUAAUCCAAAUAAAGGUUUGAAAUUGAGAAUAAGUAGUACACAUAUAAAAUGUGAACAGGAUUAUCUAAAAAAAUGAUCUUUCUUUCCAGAUUUGUGAUUAUGCGUGACAACCAUUUAACACCCAACACUUAAACUUCCAAUUAACAGAAGGCAAAAAUGAUAGCAAUAUCUAGAAACACAGUAAGAAGAAAGAAAUCAGACCUUUGUAUUGAUGGAUCUGAGCUCAAAACUACAACUGGACAAUUUCUUUACAAAAUAUUCGCCAACGAUUUCAACCGGAAUCGACGACCGGAGUUUUCGAACGACACCUUUGAUAACUCUUGACGUUGCUUUUUUGAUAAAAAUAGACUGUUUCGAACAGAUUUUUCAGUUGGAUUUAGAGGUGGCUUUCAUGGAUAUUUGCAGGUUGGUUAUGGAGGAAGGAAAGUAAGCAGGUGGGAAUUUUGAGAUGAGGAGUAUAGGGGUCAGCUGACUUCUCUUAUCUCUCCAAAAAUAGAGAAUCAGAUUCUGGCCAAGAAUCUAAAAUGAAACGGAUGACUGACUCUUUAAGGUAGGUGGGGUGAGGAUCUUUUAAGUAUUUGGUGGAGGAGCAUCGCCGGAUUCCAGUUUUGGCAGUGAGAGAGACGAUGGGAAAUGGGGUUGAGGCUUUUUUGAGAUUAGAAAGCUGGGGUGGCUGCCAGUUUCCCAUUAAUUAAGUGUAAAACUAGAAUUUUUGGUAGAUGUAAUCAUUGAGAAAAUGAUCGGCCAAAGAAUACGGUAUCAAACAUUCUCAUUUCUUUUGUCAAUAAAAGGCUCCUGGUGUGUCGUUGGUUUUCAGAGAAAAUAGGAUGGGUGCUGCCGAUUUUUAGACUAGGUCUAGG